CUUAAAACAAAAGAAAGAACAAAUGGAGGCUGUUUACGCAAAAUUGAAGGCAAAGACAAAACGACAUUGAGGAAAUCAAGGUUUCUCAAGAUCCAUCAUCAUGAAUCCCUGAAGAAAGAUGGAAUCGGUGAGAUAGACAUGGACAACAUAGGAAUGACCCUGAGAGUAGUGCACCAUCAGCUAC